rnacentral:rRNA from 1 species
ACGUAGGGUGCGAGCGUUAAUCGGAAUUACUGGGCGUAAAGCGUGCGCAGGCGGCGCUGUAAGACAGGUGUGAAAUCCCCGGGCUUAACCUGGGAAUGGCGCUUGUGACUGCAGUGCUCGAGUGCGGCAGAGGGGGGUGGAAUUCCACGUGUAGCAGUGAAAUGCGUAGAGAUGUGGAGGAACACCGAUGGCGAAGGCAGCCCCCUGGGUCGACACUGACGCUCAUGCACGAAAGCGUGGGGAGCAAACAG